rnacentral:misc_RNA from 1 species
CCGCCUCACUAGGGUGCGGAUCAGGAGAGAGAGCCAGCGUGUUUUCGCCGUUGUUUUUUUUUCAUCUGGUCGCGCGUAUCGAGUGCGCCUUCGGUUAGAGGACGGACCGAGGAGGGGCGGAACGGACGACCGCGGACGGAGGAAGAGAUCGACGGGGAUCGAGGGGAUAUCCAGGAAACAAAGAGAGGAUACCGUCGAGACCUUGGAGCCGGGUCGUCGAUGCGCAGGAGCGAUGCGCAAACGGUGACGCGCGGAGGCGCCGCGAGUCGCGCGCACGUCCUCCGAGAGUCGUUCCACCGGGUCGACAGGCUCGCGACGAGUCGGGAUCGACGCGAGCCUUCGCCGCGAGCCCGGGGACCCGUCAGGGCCGGCGUCCCCCGUCUACCUAUCUCGCUUACCCCGGGCCAAAGUAGGGGAAGCGCGCGCGUCACGCAGCGGAUAAUUGCGCGCCCGUCUCCGUCCUUUCCCUGCCCCACGGUGGAAGGUGGAGGGGGAAGGAGCGACCGAGAGAGCCAGCAAGAGAGACGGCGAUACUCGGCGGAAAUAACUCCCUAACGAGGGGGAGAGAGACGGAGGCGCGUCCGCCGGCCGGCUGCGGGAGAGAGACGCGACGAGCGCGUCGGACGCUGCCGCCACCUGGCGGCGCGGGGCUCUACCCCCACCCGGCCGCCUCGCGACCAACGAGGGCCGGCGAAGCCGCCCGAGUCGGGCCGAUCUCGGACGGGCGCAUGACAUUUCGCGAGCGUCUACGUGCGGGUACUCCACGUUGCCUUCUGCGGAGCUACAUCAGUAGUGGUCGUCCUUUCAAGUCGUCGACUUUACUCCUGAUCUCCCCUAUACAACCUCCGAAUCGCCGGAUUCGACUACGAGGGAAGCCGUGACGAAAACCACCGAGGGACGAGAGUGCCGCGUCGCGUCGCCUCGUCGGCAAGGCAGAGAGCCCCGCUACCUCCGGGAGUGAAAUUAGGAGAGAAGCGGAUCGAUCGAUCGAAAGCUCUCUGAUCUAUCGGUCGAUAUCGUUUAGUCGGGUCCCUAGACCGAAGGGCCUCGUUUUUCUGGAGCGACCGGAGGUUGCGCGCCGUCCGAGAGGGGACCAGCGGCUGCGCGGCCCUGCUUGCGCGCCGACCGCCGCGCACCCUCGCGGCCAUUUUGCGAAGCCUCAGUGAUCGCAAUGGCGUCCAUUAAAGACACUGCGACUUUCUUCGCGGAGGGGACCGCUGGCCAAUUCGAGCACGUACUCAAGCUCUAUCCGCAGGCCCUGCGACUCAAGGCCGACCGGAAGACCAAAAAACCCGAGGAGCUGAUCAAGCUUGACAACUGGUAUCAGAACGAGCUACCGAAGAAAAUCAAAGCUCGGGGAAAGGAUGCUCAUCUCAACCACGAAGAACUGGUGCAAACGAUGAAAUGGAAACAGAUACGUGGCAAGUUCUACCCUCAGGUGUCGUACCUAAUAAAGGUUAACACACCCCGGGCCGUGAUGGCCGAGACCAAGAAAGCCUUCAAGAAGCUGCCAAACCUGGAGCAGGCGAUCACCGCCCUCUCGAACCUGAAGGGUGUGGGCACCACAAUGGCCUCGGCCCUCCUGGCAGCUGCCUCUCCGGAGAACGCUCCCUUCAUGGCAGACGAGUGCCUCAUGGCCAUCCCAGAGAUCGAGGGGAUCGACUACACCACCAAGGAGUACCUCAAUUUCGUUCAGCACAUUCAAAACACCGUCGAGAGGCUCAACAAGCAAACGUCCAACGGAAAGAUCUGGAGCCCACACAGGGUGGAAUUGGCCCUGUGGACGCACUACGUGGCCUCGGAGCUGAAGCCGGAGCUGCUGGACGGUAUCCCAGGGACCACGGAGAACGGGAACUCGCACCCGACGAACGGCGAGACGACGGAGCCCUCGGACGACAGUAACCAGGAGGCCUCGUCCGAGGAGGUUACGCCUCCGGGGGCGACGGAGGCCGAAGUGGUGGUGGUGGCGAACGGUAAGGAAGCGGCGAUCGACCCGGCGGCCCUCGACGACAACAGCACGGCCUCCUUCACGGAGGACUCCCUGGACAAGCCGGCGACCCCGAUAACCGGGGCGGCACCCAGCGAGGACACGAACGACUCCCUCGCGACGAACGAGAGUACCAACACCAGGCCAACCGACAGCGAGGACACCGAGGACUCGCAGGACACCACCCGGGAGGCCCGGGACGCUCGGGAGCCGCCCGCCAAGAAGAGCAAGAAGUGACCCCGCGGCCGCACCUCCCCGCCAACCCUCGCCGAUGACAACCCCCCCCUCGCCCUGGGCCCGGUCGGGGGCCUCGCCUUAAUGGCGACGAGGCGCUUCUAGCCCUCGGCGAGGCGACCCCCGAGGGCUCGAGCCUGAGACACGUGCCCGCCCUGCUGCGCCCUGCGCCCCGAUGCGUCCUCUUCGGACGAUCCUCGUCGGCCCUCGAACGAUGAGCUCCGCCGGGCCCCGGGGACCUCGUCGGGGGUGCGCGUCCAGGAGCGUCGGGACGGCGCCCUGCCCGGCGCAUGAGUGCCUGGCCGAAGAUUCGAUGCACCGCUCGGACUGGGGACUCCACGUGUUUAGUAUAUGGGCUGCAUGGUCGCUGACGACAAACCUUACCUACGAAAGCAGGAAAUAAAUCCCAGACGAUGCGACAAUAUUCCAUAGACGAUUCUACGCUGGUGGUCCAUAGUGACUUGCAAAUCGGAGCUAGUGGAAUGAGA